rnacentral:rRNA from 1 species
GUAGGGUGGCAAGCGUUGUCCGGAAUUAUUGGGCGUAAAGCGCGCGCAGGCGGUCCUUUAAGUCUGAUGUGAAAGCCCACGGCCCAACCGUGGAGGGUCAUUGGAAACUGGGGGACUUGAGUACAGAAGAGGAAAGCGGAAUUCCAAGUGUAGCGGUGAAAUGCGUAGAGAUUUGGAGGAACACCAGUGGCGAAGGCGGCUUUCUGGUCUGUAACUGACGCUGAGGCGCGAAAGCGUGGGGAGCAAACAGGAUUAGAUACCCUGGUAGUCCACGCCGUAAACGAUGAGUGCUAAGUGUUAGGGGGUUUCCGCCCCUUAGUGCUGCAGCUAACGCAUUAAGCACUCCGCCUGGGGAGUACGGCCGCAAGGCUG